CUCUCGCUUUCUCCGCGGGGAGAGGGAAUGGGCGGGGCCGCGGAGCCGGCGCGUACGAGUUCUAGGGUGAGAAGUACUAAUGGUGGAUCUAAACUGCACAGUAACUAUCAAAGAUAUAUGAAAUGUUAAUGUUGGCAACUACAGUACCUGAUCUGUGAAGGAAGAGCCUGAAACAAGAGAUUUCCAACUCAAGAUCAGUGUGCUUGUGCUGAU